GGCAACAAGCUGAGUUCCUGGAAAACAACAAUCACAGAGAGACAGUCCACCACCUCUACCCUCUUAACUCUUCCUUAGAAACCCUACUGUCUGCAGCUGGGAAUGAAUGGAAUGAAGGUCAAGGAUGAAGUAAUAACCAAAUAUUGGGUUUUGGGUGCCCUGGUAACUGUCCGGUUUCCAGUUAGGGUUCCUGGGUGACAUCUUCCUUCUGGGGGAAGACAGAGUCAAAUGAGAAACGAUCUCACUCUGUUACCCAGGGUGGAGUGCAGGGGCAUGAACACGAAUCACUGCAGCUUCGACUUCCUGGCUCAAGCAAUCCUUCCACUUCCUGGCUCAAGCAAUCCUUCCACCUCAGCCUCCUAGGUACUGGGAUUACAGUAACUGCAUCCUGGGCAAUAUCCCCAGCUGAAAGAUUACGCUUCCCAGCCUUCCUUGCAGCUAGACGUAGCCAUAUGACAAAAUGAUGCCCAAUGAAGCAUACAUAGAAAAGUCAUGUGAGACUUCUGGAAAAGCUUCUGUAAAAGUGAGGAGCAGACACCCUUUUCUUUUUCUUCUCCUUUCUCUUGCUGUUGGCCUGGAAUGUGGACCUGAUGGAUGGAGCUCUGGCAAUCAUCUUGGAGUAUGAAGUGACCUUAAGGAUGAACAGAAAAGAAAAUGAGCCUGGGCCUUUAAUGACACAGUGGAGCUGCUCCCAGCUUGGCUACCUUCCUCUUAGUCUGCUUUUAUACAAAAAUAUAUAUAUAUCUUGUUUAAGCACAAA